AUUGAACGCUGGCGGCAGGCCUAACACAUGCAAGUCGAACGGUAACAGGAAGCAGCUUGCUGCUUCGCUGACGAGUGGCGGACGGGUGAGUAAUGUCUGGGAAGCUGCCUGAUGGAGGGGGAUAACUACUGGAAACGGUAGCUAAUACCGCAUAAUGUCGCAAGACCAAAGAGGGGGACCUUCUGGCCUCUUGCCAUCGGAUGUGCCCAGAUGGGAUUAGCUUGUUGGUGGGGUAACGGCUCACCAAGGCGACGAUCCCUAGCUGGUCUGAGAGGAUGACCAGCCACACUGGAACUGAGACACGGUCCAGACUCCUACGGGAGGCAGCAGUGGGGAAUAUUGCACAAUGGGCGCAAGCCUGAUGCAGCCAUGCCGCGUGUAUGAAGAAGGCCUUCGGGUUGUAAAGUACUUUCAGCGGGGAGGAAGGGAGUAAAGUUAAUACCUUGGCUCAUUGACGUUACCCGCAGAAGAAGCACCGGCUAACUCCGUG
rnacentral:rRNA from 1 species